rnacentral:rRNA from 1 species
ACUAACUACGUGCCAGCAGCCGCGGUAAUACGGUAGGGGCAAGCGUUAUCCGGAAUCACGUGGGACGGUAAAGGGGUGCGUAGGUCGGUUUUCAAGUCAGAAGUGAAAGGCUAUGGCUCAACCAUAGUAAGUCUUUUAGAAACUGUUAAACUUGAGUGCAGGAGAGGAAAGUGGAAUUCCUAGUGUAGAGGUGAAAUUCGUAGAUAUUAGGAGGAACACCAGUGGCGAAGGCGACUUUCUGGACUGUAACUGACGCUGAGGCACGAAAGCGUGGGGAGCGAACAGGAUUAGAUACCCUGGUAG